rnacentral:rRNA from 1 species
UACGUAGGUGGCGAGCGUUGUCCGGAUUUACUGGGCGUAAAGAGCGCGCAGGCGGCUGGUCAAGUCCGAUGUGAAAGCUCCCGGCUUAACUGGGAAAUUGCAUCGGAAACUGAUCGGCUGGAAGGUGGGAGAGGGUAGCGGAAUUCCCGGUGUAGUGGUGAAAUGCGUAGAUAUCGGGAGGAACACCAGUGGCGAAAGCGGCUACCUGGCCCAUUCUUGACGCUGAGGCGCGAAAGCUAGGGUAGCAAACGGG